GUCGAACGCUGGCGGCGUGCUUAACACAUGCAAGUCGAACGGAAAGGCCCUGCUUUUGUGGGGUGCUCGAGUGGCGCACGGGUGAGUAACACGUGAGUAACCUGCCCUUGACUUUGGGAUAACUUCAGGAAACUGGUGCUACUACCGGCUACGAGCUCCUGCUGCAUGGUGGGGGUUGGACAGUUUCGGCGGUUGGGGAUCGACUCGCGGCUUAUCAGCUUGUUGGUGGGGUAGUGGCUUACCCAGGCUUCGACGGGUAGCCGGCCUGAGAGGGUGACCGGCGACAUAGGGACUGAGGGACGGCCCAGACUCCUACUGGAGGCAGCAGGGGGGAAGCUUGCACAAUGGGCGGCAGCCUGAUGCAGCAGCGCCGCGUGCGGGAUGACGGCCUUCGGGUUGUAAACCGCUUUCGCCUGUGACGAAGCGUGAGUGACGGUAAUGGGUAAAGAAGCACCGGCUAACUACGUG
rnacentral:rRNA from 1 species